rnacentral:lncRNA from 1 species
CUUUGCUUUACUUUUUAAGAUUUAUUUCCGGUUCACCCUAAAGGUUAUAAUCGCAGGCCUUUCGGGUCCCAAUCUUAUGCAGAUUUCUCUCUAGGUGUGGUCACCAGGAUUUUCAUCUGCCCUCACAUCUAUGUGCUCAACAAUGAAGAAGCUCAAUCAUUUUCAACAGAAAACUUCAAAAUGAAAUCUAGCUUUGUUUUGAGUCUCUGUGGAUUUCUUAUUUUGGUUCUGUCAAGCAAAAUCUUGCUUCAGACCCCAUGGGGGAUGUUCCUCACAACUGCAGGUGGAGGAAGGAAGGGUUGUGUUAAUUAUUUCACAGACAAUGUGUCCUUCAAGAAACUAGAAGAAGCUGGGCUUCCAAAAAUGAGACAGACAUUAGAAGAGCCCAUUUACAAGCAGCAGGAGGAGCAGAAGAAACAGUGAUGUGGAGGAGGUGAUUCACAACUUCCUCUGUGAGGAAAAAGGAACCACGGAGGCCUGAGGUGUCCCCAGGGCCACUAGCCGGCUGUAAAAGGCACUGCUGAUCUGGAAUGGUGCCUCAAUCUUGAACAUUUGAAAUUGCUUCUACUCCAUUGUUAUUUUUAGUAGAGUUGUUUCUUCAAGAAAAUUGCUCCCUGAUCUUGUCUCUCCCUUGCUCUCAGACUAUGUGCAUGUUUUAACACAUUUGGUCAUGAUAGUCUACUUUUCUUAAUCUUAUAGUUGUUACUAUACUGUGAAAAAUGGAAAAUUUGAGUAUGUCGGUUGUAUGAUCUUACAAUGUAAAUUACUGAGACUUGCAAUGCAACAGCUUAUCAAUCCUUGAAGAUAUUUUUAUUUGAUAUCUUCUUAUGGAAUUCUUGUCUGCAAAUCUUAAGCUGAAAAGUCACUAGAAAUCUGUUUAGAAAUGAAUUAAAAAUUACAUUGCUUUUUUCUUGCUAUGUGCACUAAGAAUUGCUGUCAAAUUGUCCAUAAAGUCUGUGUACUGAUUCUCAAAACAACUGAUAAAAUCUUUAUUGUGAAAGGAAAAAAAAAAGGGGGGGGGGGGAUCUGAACAGGCACCUCAUGAAAGAAGACAUACAGAUGGCACAUAAACUCGUGAAAUGAUUCUCAACACCAUUUGUUACUAGGGUACUGCAAAUUAAAAAAUGAUGAGAUACUACUUCACACCUAUUACAAGGACUAAGAAUCCAGAAAAUUAACAACACUGGCAAGGUUGCAGAGAAACUUUCAUCCAUUGCUGAUGGGAAGACAAAAUGGUACAACCUUUAAAUGACAGCUUUGUAUUUUCCUAUAAAACUAAUUUUACCAUAUAAUUUAGCAAUCUCACUUCCAACUGAGCUGAAAUUUUAUGUCAUACAAAAACCUAUACCUGAAUAUUUAUAGCAUCUUUAUCCAUAAUUGUUAAAAACUAGAAGCAACCAAGAUGUCUUUCAAGACAAAUGUAUGAAUAAACUGUUACACCCUAAAAUGGAAUAUUAUUCA